rnacentral:rRNA from 1 species
AAUCAACGCUGGCGGCGCGCUUAACACAUGCAAGUCGAACGGGAAAGUGGAGCAAUCCAUGAGUACAGUGGCGUACGGGUGAGUAACACGUGGGUAAUCUACCUCUUAGUGGGGAAUAACCCUGGGAAACCGGGGCUAAUACCGCAUAAGCCUGAGAAGGGAAAGCAGCAAUGCGCUGAGAGAGGAGCCCGCGGCCGAUUAGCUAGUUGGUAGGGUAAAGGCCUACCAAGGCAGAGAUCGGUAGCCGGCCUGAGAGGGCACACGGCCACA